GUCUCAAAAGGAUCAAUCAGAUGACGUUUCAGUGAAGAUGAAGGUUCUCACGUUCUGCCACAGCUCCGGAUUCAGCUCCUCUCUGCCUGGUCUUGUUAUUUAUUUUAUAACUGUUUAUGUUCACAAGUUGGAACCAGGAUAAGUGCUGAG